rnacentral:lncRNA from 1 species
AUUAAUAUAUCAAACUAAUUGAUUAAAAAAACCCAAUUAUGACCUCCAGCUGAUGUCAAUGUCCAUGUGGCCGCGGUGGUCUAAAUUCUGGUCUCCAAGGACCGUAAUCAUGGUAAGGAUGAUGGAACGGGCGAGUUGGAUGAGAAGGUAGAAGAUAAUUAUAUUCUGCCAUGGGCGGUGGCGGAGGAGGAGGAUGAGGAGGUGGCGGUGGCGGUGGCGGAGGUAGAUAAUAGGCAUGAACAUGAUCAUCUGCUGGGGGUAGCACCGGUGGUGGCGGAGGAGGAUUAUAAUUGUAAUGCGCAUUACUAGUAUGAGUUUGAUGUAAUUCCAUUAGCGAGCUGGCCGGAUUGCAGACUUGGGUACUGCUGUUGAACUUGUUGUGGUAGCCGGCGCUGCUAAUAUUGCUAUUGCUAAUACAUAUAUCAUCGUCAUC